rnacentral:lncRNA from 12 species
GGAAGAGUUGCUGGAAGAACUCAAAUAGAUAAAAGAUAAUAGGACAGGGGAAGUUGUCAGUAAGUACCCAGAGAAGUGCUGGGAAAAAUGACCCGAACUAGCCAGAAUGAGAGACAGGAUCUUCAUGGAAAUAAGGAAAAACUCCCAGAUUAAUCAUUUGCCAACCAUUGUAAAGAAAGCGUUUCAAUCCCUGAGAAAAAUGGAGCCAACAUUAAUAGAGGUGAGGAUGACAGGCUCCGUAGAGAAGAACAGGAAAAGGCCUGUGGGAACUGGAGUUUAAUACCCUGUAUCCUAAGACAUUGUGACAUUACGUUAUGACGCAGCAGGCGAAAUUACGGAUGAAGGAUGGAUCCCAGGACGGGGGACCUGGGGAAAAUAAGAGCAGCAUGUCCUGGCCGUCAUAAAAGCUACUCUGGAAAUUCUUCAAUGGCCCAGCAUUCCACCUAUUUUAUAUACUCUGUGUCCCACAAAAAUCCAGUGAGUACUGAGAUUUGUUUUCCUCUUCUACCUGGGUCUGGAAGAACUGCAGUCCCCACCUGAUUCUCCCAUUGAAGGAUCCUUCAACAACCACAGAGAAAGCCCUGGUCUUUUCCUGAGCACUUCAAUGGAUCUGAGAUAAAAAUCACUGACAUUCCUUCAGAUAAUCUGAUCCACUAGUACACUAAGGGAUGAUAUAUUCUUGAUAAUAUCUGUAGGCAAUAUACAAACUGGCACUAUACUACUGAUUUACAUACGUUAGCUUGUUUAAUUCUUAAAACAACCCUGUGAGGUAAGUUCUAGUAUUCCCAUGUUAAAGAUGGAGGAAUUGUGGCACAGAGAAGAUAGCUGACUUGUCCAAGUUCACAUAGCAACAUAUGGUGCCAAGAUCUUGCCCCAGGAUGCCUUGCCCCAGGGUCCUUACUGCAAAGGGUGGAAUGUGUGGAGAAAUGGUGAGAAAAAUGCUUUUAGAUCCAGAUUGAGUCACUACACUUACUUAGAGGUCUAUAUUCUCCCCUCCUUGCCUCAUUCAACAGAAAAGAAAACAAAAAUGUCUUGUGGCCCAGCAUCAAAAACAAAGGACAUUCCUUAUUUCAGGAUGAACAUUAAAUAAGGGAAAAGUUUCACAAAGCCCUUGCAUGCUAACCCAAUAACAUGGAAGCACAGUGAAGAAACAAGGUCUUCCCAAUGAAGCACAGUGUACAUGGUGCUCUGUACCUCAUUGUGCCAUUCUGGAACUUUCAGAGUGAGUGACUGAACAUGCUUCACCUCAUCCUUCUGACUUCUUCCUUCAGUACCUGAUGUAACCUUGCUAUUUGCCCCUAGGCCAUCGUAUAACAUAGUACAUGGAAAUAUUUACUCCCAUCUCUUGUUCAUUUAUCUUCACUAUUCAGAUCUCUGCUCACAUACUUCUUUUUCAGAGGUUUUCCUGAAUCUUCCUUGCUCAUGUCAUUUACACGAUUUCAUAGCUUCCUAUAAUUUUUGUUGGUAUUUUGCAUAAUACUCAUAAUACUGUGAAUAGAGAUAUUUAUUUAAAUAUUAAGUGUUGGUUUUCCAUUUUAAAAAAUGGUAACCGAGAUCUUCAUUGUUGAGGACCAUCUUGUGAGGGCCUCUCGUUUUCCAUGGAGGGUCUAUGAGAGGUGAUAUCAGUAAGAGAAACCUCCAGACUCUAAUUUCAAUACUUCUGAGGCUCACCUGAUACUCUGGUAGCCUCUUUUCUAAUUCCAGUUACAGAUACAGUGAAUAAAAUCUGAGGGCUCCCAAUAAUUUUGUGCCA